UACGAAGGGGGCUAGCGUUGCUCGGAAUCACUGGGCGUAAGGGGUGCGUAGGCGGGUCUUUAAGUCAGGGGUGAAAUCCUGGAGCUCAACUCCAGAACUGCCUUUGAUACUGAGGAUCUUGAGUCCGGGAGAGGUGAGUGGAACUGCGAGUGUAGAGGUGAAAUUCGUAGAUAUUCGGAAGAACACCAGUGGCGAAGGCGGCUCACUGGUCCGGUACUGACGCUGAGGUGCGAAAGCGUGGGGAGCAAACAGG
rnacentral:rRNA from 1 species